AUUGAACGCUGGCGGCAUGCUUUACACAUGCAAGUCGAACGGGGGUGAAGGGGGCAACUCUUCAUUCAGUGGCGAACGGGUGAGUAAUGCAUCGGAACGUACCUCGUAGUGGGGGAUAACUCGGCGAAAGCCGUGCUAAUACCGCAUAUGCUCUACGGAGGAAAGCAGGGGACCUGAAAGGGCCUUGUGCUAUGGGAGCGGCCGAUGUCCGAUUAGCUAGUUGGUGGGGAAUGGCCUACCAAGGCGACGAUCGGUAGCUGGUCUGAGAGGAUGAUCAGCCACACUGGGACUGAGACACGGCCCAGACUCCUACGGGAGGCAGCAGUGGGGAAUCUUGCGCAAUGGGCGAAAGCCUGACGCAGCGACGCCGCGGUGGGGGAAGAAGG
rnacentral:rRNA from 1 species